AUUGGCUGGAGGCUCGCUCCCUUUGGCCGAGCUAGGCAGGAAGAACACGUGUGCAAUGUGAUCAGCCACCCCACAUGAUGGACCGUAUGCCUACAGACCAAGAGUCAAGAUAAACCUUUCUUACUUUUUUGGUUUUUGUUUUGUUUUUCGAGACAGGGUUUGUCUGUGUAGUUCUGGAGCCUGUACUGGAUGGAACUCACUCUAUAACCAGACUGGCCUCGAACUCACAGAGAUCCAUCUGCCUCUGUCUCUUGAGUGCUGGGAUUAAAGGCGUGCAUGCACCACCAACGCCCGGCAACCCUUCAUUUCUUAACUUGCUUCUUGUAAGGUAUUUGAUCACAACAAUUAGAAAGGUAACAAAUACGGAAAACUGGCCUUGGAGAUUGGAGUCACUGCUGUGAUAAAUCUGAUCUCGUAGUUCUUAGGCCCUCGGACCUGGUUUGCCAGAGGACCGUGGAAGAGAAUGUGAAGCCAUAGGAUGACAAUAAGAAGACCUCAACAGGCCAUUCUGCUGGGAACCUGGCAGACUAAAAUGCCAAUGGAAACGUGGUCGGCACACGGAGGCUGCUGUCGGUGUGGUCAAGAGGGGGCCAGGCUACAUCUCAAGUUGGCAAUAGGACUUGGCGGCGUUCUUCAUGUGUUAUGGGUUUUUUGUCAGCAUGGAUGAUGUAAGAAUAAAGGGGUGAUGAAGGUUUGUCCCACACCAUUCUAGAAAGCUACUGAGGUCACAGGAUGCAUGACCGGGUCAGACUUCCUGCAGGGAGUCUCUAGAGGUCAUUGUGUAAAACUAGGAACAGACCCAAGGACGUUAGAGAUGCCACGGCUCGGGAAAAUUGCAGGAACAAACUGGAGCUGGCCCGAGAGAGAGAGAGAGAGAGAGAGAGAGAGAGAGAGAGAGAGAGAGAGAGAGAGAGAGAGAGAGAGAGAGCGCUCAUAUGUACUACAGAGAGAUGGAACUGCCCUGGGCCGAAGGAGCCCAAAUGAUUCUGUCAUAAGCCCCAGAUGAUAGAUAUGGAGCUGCAGGGUUUAGUGUUUGCCCUGCUGGAUAUGGGUCCUGCUUUGGUCCUCUAUUUUCUUGCUAUACCCCAUUCUCCAUUUUUGGAAUAGUAAAUAUUGUACCGGGCCAUGGUA